rnacentral:rRNA from 1 species
AAGGACGUGAUAAGCUGCGAUAAGCUUCGGGUAGGUGCAAAUAACCUUUGAUCCGAAGAUUUCCGAAUGGGACAACCUAGCCGUCUGAAGGACGGUUACUCUUACCAAUGUAAGAGAGCUAACGCAGGGAACUGAAACAUCUUAGUACCUGCAGGAAGAGAAAAUAAAUGAAUGAUUCCCCCAGUAGUGGCGAGCGAACGGGGAACAGCCCAAACCAGUGGCGUCGCAAGGCGUGGCUGGGGUUGUAGGACCGCGACAUUGUAUGCAAAUCGUGAACAGAACACUUUGGAAAAUGUGACCAUAGACGGUGAUAGUCCAGUAUGUGAAGCGAAAUGCAGCAUAGCGGUAUCCUGAGUAACGCGGGACACGAGGAAUCCUGCGCGAAUCUGCCGGGACCAUCCGGUAAGGCUAAAUACUCCCGUGAGACCGAUAGCGAACGAGUACUGUGAAGGAAAGGUGAAAAGAACCCCGAGCAGGGGAGUGAAAUAGUUCCUGAAACCAUGCGCCUACAAGCGGUCGGAGCAUCUUACGAUGUGACGGCGUGCCUUUUGCAUAAUGAUCCUACGAGUUACCGUCACUGGCGAGGUUGAGUGUCACGAGACACGUAGCCGCAGUGAAAGCGAGCCUGAAUAGGGCGCACAGUCAGUGGGGGUAGACGCGAAACCAAGUGAUCUACACUUGGCCAGGAUGAAGUCCCGGUAACACGGGAUGGAGGUCCGCACCAAUAAGCGUUGAAAAGCUUCUGGAUGAGCCGAGUGUAGGAGUGAAAGGCCAAUCAAACUUGGAGAUAGCUCGUACUCCCCGAAAGGCAUUUAGGUGCCGCGUCGGAUGGUCACCGUGAGAGGUAGAGCGACCGAUAGGACAAGAGGGCUUCACCGCCUAUCGAGUCCUGACGAACUCCGAAUGCUCACGGUCUGCAGUCCGGCAGUAAGGGGGCGGGUGCUAAGGUCCGUCCCCGAGAGGAGAAGAAUCCAGACCGCCGUCUAAGGUCCCGGAGUUCUGCCUGAGUUAGUCUAACGAAGUCUGGUCCCUAUGACAGCUAGGAUGUUGGCUUGGAAGCAGCCAUUCAUUCAAAGAGUGCGUAACAGCUCACUAGUCGAGGGUCCGGGCAUGGAUAAUAAUCGGGUAUAAGGCAGACACCGAAGGCGCGGGAUAGCAUUUAAGAAAGUAUCGGUAGGGGAGCAUACUCACAGCGUCGAAUGGUGUACGUAAGUUAUCCUGGAGCGGUGAGUAAAGCAAAUGUAGGAAUAAGUAACGAUAAGGAGGGUUAGAUUCCCUCCCGCUGUAAGACCAAGGUUUCCCGGGCAAUGCCAAUCAGCCCGGGGUCAGUCGGGUCCUAAGUCUAAGCCGAACGGCGAUGGCGAUGGCAGAGACGGUUAAUAUUCCGUCACUGCCGCAUGGGGCGACGUGGAGACGGAGCAGUGAAACCACCGCGGGGCGACGGAAGUCCCCGUUGAAGAGUGUAGGUGUUGAGGAUGGCAGGCAAAUCCACCAUCCGAGCUGAACUUGACAGUAUGGAGUCUUCUCCGGAAGAAUCCAAUAGUGUGGGUAAUCAUACUCCCGAGAAAAUCCGCUAAGCUUAACCCAUGCGGCACCCGUACCGCAAACGGACACACGUGGUCGGGUAGAACAUACUAAGGCGUUGAGAGAUUCAUGGUUAAGGAACUAGGCAAAUUGACCCUGUAACUUCGGGAUAAAGGGUCCUCGUGAUGAGCGAGGCGCAGAGAAUAGGUCCAGGCAACUGUUUAACAAAAACACAGGGCUGUGCAAACUCGAAAGAUGACGUAUACAGCCUGACACCUGCCCGGUGCCGGAAGGUUAAGAGGAGAUGUCACUCGCAAGAGGAAGCAUUGAAUUGAAGCCCCGGUAAACGGCGGCCGUAACUAUAACGGUCCUAAGGUAGCGAAAUUCCUUGUCGGGUAAGUUCCGACCUGCACGAAUGGUGUAAUGAUCUGGACGCUGUCUCAACCGUGAGCUCAGUGAAAUUGUAGUAUCGGUGAAGAUGCCGAUUACCCGCGAUGGGACGAAAAGACCCCGUGAACCUUUACUACAGCUUAGCAUUGACCUUGGUCAUCCGAUGUGUAGGAUAGGCCGGAGGCUUCGAAGCGGGAGCGCCAGCUUUCGUGGAGCCAUCCUUGAAAUACGGCCCUUUGGCUGUCUGAGGUCUAACGCGUGAUUACGCGGACACUGCUUGGUGGGUAGUUUGACUGGGGUGGUCGCCUCCAAAAGCGUAACGGAGGCUUCCAAAGGUGCCCUCGGGUCGAUUGGUAACCGACCUCAAAGAGUGCAAUGGCAUAAGGGCGCUUGACUGGGAGGCAGACAUGCCGAGCAGGCAGGAAACUGGGGCAUAGUGAUCCGGCGGAUGUGUAUGGAAACUCCGUCGCUCAAAGGAUAAAAGGUACUCCGGGGAUAACAGGCUGAUCCCCCCCAAGAGCUCAUAUCGACGGGGUGGUUUGGCACCUCGAUGUCGGCUCGUCACAUCCUGGGGCUGGAGAAGGUCCCAAGGGUUGGGCUGUUCGCCCAUU